AGUGAACGCUGGCGGCAGGCCUAACACAUGCAAGUCGAACGGCAGCACAGUAAGAGCUUGCUCUUACGGGUGGCGAGUGGCGGACGGGUGAGGAAUACAUCGGAAUCUACUUUUUCGUGGGGGAUAACGAAGGGAAACUUACGCUAAUACAGCAUACGACCUACGGGUGAAAGCAGGGGAUCGUCGGACCUUGCGCGAUCGAGUGAGCCGAUGUGGGAUUAGCUAGUUGGCGGGGUAAAGGCCCACCAAGGCGACGAUCCGUAGCUGGUCUGAGAGGAUGAUCAGCCACACUGGAACUGAGACACGGUCCAGACUCCUACGGGAGGCAGCAGUGGGGAAUAUUGGACAAUGGGCGCAAGCCUGAUCCAGCCAUACCGCGUGGGUGAAGAAGGCCUUCGGGUUGUAGAGCCCUUUUGUUGGGAAAGAAGAGCAGCAGGUUAAUACCCAGCUGUUCUGACGGUACCCAAAGAAUAAGCACCGGCUAACUUCGUG
rnacentral:rRNA from 1 species